rnacentral:rRNA from 1 species
AUGKCCRCGUGUGUGAAGAAGGCCUUCGGGUUGUAAAGCACUUUGAGGUCGUGAGGAAGGUGGUGGUGUUAAUAGCASYAUYAUUUGACGUUAGCGACAGAAGAAGCACCGGCUAACUCCGUGCCAGCAGCCGCGGUAAUACGGAGGGUGCGAGCGUUAAUCGGAAUUACUGGGCGUAAAGCGCAUGCAGGUGGUUUGUUAAGUCAGAUGUGAAAGCCCGGGGCUCAACCUCGGAAUAGCAUUUGAAACUGGCAGACUAGAGUACUGUAGAGGGGGGUAGAAUUUCAGGUGUAGCGGUGAAAUGCGUAGAGAUCUGAAGGAAUACCGGUGGCGAAGGCGGCCCCCUGGACAGAUACUGACACUCAGAUGCGAAAGCGUGGGGAGCAAACAGGAUUAGAUACCCUGGUAGUCCACGCCGUAAACGAUGUCUACUUGGAGGUUGUGGCCUUGAGCCGUGGCUUUCGGAGCUAACGCGUUAAGGUA